rnacentral:rRNA from 1 species
UACGUAGGUGGCAAGCGUUGGCCGGAUUUACUGGGCGUAAAGAGCGCGCAGGCGGUCGUUCAAGUCGCGUGUGAAAGCCCCCGGCUCAACUGGGGAGGGUCACGCGAUACUGAUCGACUCGAAGGCAGGAGAGGGUAGUGGAAUUCCCGGUGUAGUGGUGAAAUGCGUAGAUAUCGGGAGGAACACCAGUGGCGAAGGCGACUACCUGGCCUGUUCUUGACGCUGAGGCGCGAAAGCUAGGGGAGCAAACGGG